AGAAUCAACGCUGGCGGCGUGCCUAACACAUGCAAGUCGCACGAGAAAAGGUAGCAAUACCUGAGUACAGUGGCGCACGGGUGAGUAACACGUGAAUAAUCUACCUCCGAGUGGGGAAUAACUGAGAGAAAUCUUAGCUAAUACCGCAUAAUACCCACGGGUCAAAGCAGCAAUGCGCUUGGAGAGGAGUUCGCGGCAGAUUAGUUAGUUGGCGGGGUAAUGGCCCACCAAGACGAUGAUCUGUAUCCGGCCUGAGAGGGCGCACGGACACACUGGAACUGAAACACGGUCCAGACUCCUACGGGAGGCAGCAGUGGGGAAUUUUGCGCAAUGGGGGAAACCCUGACGCAGCAACGCCGCGUGGAGGAUGAAAUCCCUUGGGAUGUAAACUCCUUUCGAUAGGGAAGAUAAUGACGGUACCUAUAGAAGAAGCCCGGCUAACUUCGCGCCAGCAGCCGC
rnacentral:rRNA from 1 species